UUCUUCCCAUCAGCAUUCUCUCUCUCUCUCUCUUUCUUCUCCAUUGGUUGCCUUUAGCUGCCUCCACUCUUCUAGUCCUCCUACUAUUUUACCUUUCUUUCUUCUUUUGGUGUUGUUUUUGUGUAUGAAACAUCGCAGGGAGUAAGCAAGCUGGAAAGUGAGGGAGGUGUGGGGGCAUAUGAUGCAUUUUGGUGCAUUGAGGAGCGGGAUAAGGAAUUGGCUUCGCGACUAUGUCAGGGUUCAAUCCGCCGCUGUGAUUCUCAUCUACAUUCAAAUUGCCUGCGCACUCAUCGGAUCUCUUGGGGCGCUCUACACCGGGGUUUUGUUCGCCCAUCUCGGGAUUGCGCUCUUCGCCCUUGUGGCCAUCGAGAGCAGCAGCCAGAGCCUCGGCAGAACCUACGCCGUCCUCCUCCUCUCCGCCGUCUUCCUCGACGUCUCCUGGUUCCUCCUCUUCUCCCGCCAAAUCUGGAACAUUUCAUCUGAAAAUUAUGGAACCUCUGUUAUCUUCUCAGUGAAACUUAGUAUGUACAUGCAAAUAAUUGGUUUUUGUGUAAGGUUAUCAUCUUCAAUAUUGUGGAUUCAGAUAUACAGACUCGGUCCUUCUUAUGUAGACAAUUCUGUUCCUCGAGAAGCAGAUGCUGAUUUGCAAAAUAGCUUUCUCAGUCCUGUAAACCCUUCUAUAACUAGACAUCCUUUCAGCUCUGGUGAUGCUUUAGGUGGCUCUGUAUAUGACCCUGCAUAUUAUUCAUCUUUGACUGGAGAUGGUAAAGAUGAGGAGUAUUUGUCUGGGGCCAAUCAAAAUCAUGGAAUGGUGGUUGGAUCAACUGCUUCUCCUGAAAGAACUACACCAGUGAAGCCAGUCAUUAAUAGAUCUGUUCAGGGUAAAGAUAUGAUUGCUUCUUAAACUUUAGAGCCUUGAUAAUUGUUAUAUUGGAUGGGAGUGAAACAUUGGACAAAAAGAUGCAUAGAUGAAGGUUGAGGUGGAUAGGGUACUCAAUCUCAAUAGGUAAAACUCAUGAGGAUAUGUGCGAUGGUUUUAGAAGUAGACAGUCAUUCCAUUCCCUCCAAACCUGAAAAUGAAAUAUAUUCGUUUUACUAUUCUUGCUGUCUUUUGAAACAGAAAGGAGUACGAAAUCAUUCAGUAUGAGAAGAACGUUUAGCCCUUGCAUUUUUUACCUUCCCCUUUGCGUUCCUUCACCAAACCAACUUACCAAGCUCAUGACCUAAAUGCUGUUAGGAAUCUACUGCAAGGCUGAACCUGUCUGGAUUUUUUCCCCCUGGAGGGUUAUACAUUUUUAGUAACUCAAUUCUUGGCAGGGUAGUUUUAUGGUAGUGAGUACUGUACAGUGACCCAGUUGUAGUAUCACUCCCAGGAUAUAAGAUUUGCAUUGAAGCAAAACUUAUUCUCUAAAGAUAAAGAUGAUGGCAGUGUAGAGAAGCUUCACUUUAUAGUUUCUAGCAUAGAAAUUUCAAUCUUUAUCUGGGGAUAUUGUUAAAGAUUUGGCCAGUUGGUACAAAUAGUUCUUGAUUUCCUGGGAAAUGAAAUGAAUACCACUCUAGAUUCUGUCUUCAUAUCAAAAUA